AGCGAACGCUGGCGGCAGGCCUAACACAUGCAAGUCGAACGGAUCCUUCGGGAUUAGUGGCGGACGGGUGAGUAACACGUGGGAACGUGCCCUUUGGUUCGGAACAACUCAGGGAAACUUGAGCUAAUACCGGAUGUGCCCUUCGGGGGAAAGAUUUAUCGCCAUUGCAGCGGCCCGCGUCUGAUUAGCUAGUUGGUGAGGUAAAGGCUCAACAAGGCGACGAUCAGUAGCUGGUCUGAGAGGAUGAUCAGCCACAUUGGGACUGGGACACGGCCCAAACUCCUACGGGAGGCAGCAGUGGGGAAUCUUGCGCAAUGGGCGAAAGCCUGACGCAGCCAUGCCGCGUGAAUGAUGAAGGUCUUAGGAUUGUAAAAUUCUUUCACCGGGGACGAUAAUGACGGUACCCGGAGAAGAAGCCCCGGCUAACUUCGUGCCAGCAGCCGCGGUAAGAC
rnacentral:rRNA from 1 species